CAAAAGUAAUCGUGGUUUUUGC
rnacentral:miRNA from 1 species